UUUUACGUGGUCUAGUGGUUAGGUUACCUGGCUCUCACUCAGAAGGCCAGGUUUCGAUUCCCGGCGUAGGAA